ensembl:lncRNA
AGCCACUGACUUGCAUUUUAUGAAUCACCAAGGACCACGGUUUCGUGGACAUCUUGAAAAAUGUAGAGAGCGCCGUGGCAACGCUUCAAAUAUUCAAACACUCAUCGCCAAAGUUCCAAAUUUAAUUUGCGGCGAUGUUCUGACCUCAGACGAGCUGGAAAUCAGACACACACGUCACUCUGACCAGAGAUGCACCGUGUGGGAUGGACAGGUGCCACGAAGCACUUAUGCCCCACUGACUUCCAUUGUAUGGAAAAGAGCAGCACAGAUAUUCAGCAAAACAUCUCCUUUUAUGCUCCACAGAAGACAGAAAGUCACAGGGCUUUCAAACAGUGAGUAUUUGAGUUCGAUAGCCCACAUAUUCAGCUUAUACUGUCAGUCUGCGCAGCAAGAAUGCGGAUGCCUCUGUCAAUCUGCGUGUAUGUUUCUUUUGUAAAUAACAAAAAGAGCACCCUGUGCUUUUUUAUCUCACCUGCCCACACUCUCAACAACCUCCACAUCUACAACCUUUCCUCUUCCUCAUCGCUGUCUCUCUCUCUCUUGGAGGGGGCGGUGUAGGCGUUCAAGGCUCAAAAGAACCAAGGAACAUCGCCGCUACAGUCAAAAAUAUCUAAAGGAAGCACACAUAUGUGCACCGAUUGUGUUGGCAUUCGCGCUGUUGGCAGAGAAAAGCAGUGUUGGGCCGUUGUGGAGGAUAUUUCCAUAGAUGAGCAGCAGAGUGGCUUUAUUUUUAGAUAAAUCACUCUGAGCAUGCAAAGAAAGACAGUAGCCACAAAGCAGUUUGGGUGAAGAAGAGCCUCUUUGCAAACACACUUGACUCAGCGAGGGGAUGAAAGGUCACACAGACACACACGCUGAUGGCAGGGAUGCAGCAUAUGUUGACAUAUGUGUCUUGCUGGUUUGUGUUUUUAUGUUCAGAGUUGUAGUUUGUGUGUGUUUGAGGGGGUUCAUGUGCCGUAAUACGUCAGUGCACAGUGUGUCCUCCAGCUCAACCUGCACAGACCAUCUGCUGGCACAAUCGUCCGCCGGAGACCCGAUGCUGGAGAUUCUCUCACAUCAGAGCGGCAGAAAUAGAAAGAGAAGUCAACAGUACAAUAACCAAAACCUCUAUCUAUCUAUCUAUUUAUUUAUUUAUUUAUUUAUUUAUCUUUUUUCAGAAUUUAGCUGUAGUAGGAUUUAUAUAUAUAUAUAUAUCCCAAGGGUAGCAUGUACAGGAUGAAAAGCAAUGGUCCUAGAACUGAGCCCUGCAGUACUCCAAACUGAACUUGUGACUGAUAUGAUACCUCUUCAUUUACUGCUACAAACUUUUGUUACUUGAAAUACAAUAAAUAUUAACUAAAACAAAUGAUUAAUCUCA